GAUGAAGAACGUAGCGAAAUGCGAUAAGUAAUGUGAAUUGCAGAAUUCAGUGAAUCAUCGAAUCUUUGAACGCACAUUGCGCCCGCUAGUAUUCUGGCGGGCAUGCCUGUCCGAGCGUCAUUUCAACCCUCAAGCCCCCGGGCUUGGUGUUGGGGAUCGGCGAGCCUCCGCGCCCGCCGUCCCCUAAAUCUAGUGGCGGUCUCGCUGUAGCUUCCUCUGCGUAGUAGCACACCUCGCACUGGGAAACAGCGCGGCCACGCCGUUAAACCCCCAACUUCUGAACGUUUGACCUCGGAUCAGGUAGGAAUACCCGCUGAACUUAAGCAUAUCAAUAGCGGCGGA
rnacentral:misc_RNA from 1 species